GCAAACUUGGUCAUUUAGAGGAAGUAAAAGUCGUAACAAGGUUUCCGUAGGUGAACCUGCGGAAGGAUCAUUACCAGGAACCCGUGCCUACCCGGCCGGAUCCUUCAACCACUGUGUACCGAACUCUUCGUUGCCUCGGCGGGUUGGGCGCCCGGCUCUCGAGCCCGGGUCGUCCCCCCUCCUCGCGAGGGAGCCGCCCGCCGCAGGACAUUUCAAAAACCAAUUCGUUGAUGAACGUCUAAUUCAAUUUUGCAAAUGCAAGAAUACAACUUUCAACAAUGGAUCUCUUGGCUCCGGCAUCGAUGAAGAACGCAGC
rnacentral:misc_RNA from 1 species